UCUUUUCCAGUUCUCUAAGUUCGUUCUCUCAUAGUCUCAUUUAUCUCCUCUCUUCGUCUCUACUCUCUAUUCUCUAUUCUCUAAUCCUGAUUCCUCUUCCGAGUUUUCCAUUUCUCUCUUUGUCUCUACGCAAAACCCGUCUCUCCCAUACUCCCCUUUGAGUCUUCUAUGGGAAUCGAUGUCGUUGUGGUCUUUGUUUUGGACUCUGGUGGAAGCCUCACAAAGACGUCGUUCUUGGGUAUUGUCGUUCUGAACUUCUACUAUUCGCCGCAAUCGCGGGUGGAAAUCCAUAGCCCGACGUUGAUAUUUGAAGGCUUGAAGCCCGAGUUCUCAAGAGGGAAAAUUUGAGAAAACAAAGUGUAAGGAGGGGGAAAUGGAAAAUCUAACUAAGGAUCAAGGGGAAGGUCAACCUUCAAGCGACAAGAAGAUCAAACACACUUAUACUUUUGAAGUUCAUGAGCUCUCAAACUAUAGGGAAUGACGACAAGGAGAAAAAGGUGAGAUUGCAACCUUGAGGUGAUCGUCGGGCCCCCAAUGGAGGGUUCACAUAUGCACAUUUUUUAGUAACGGUUGAGAGACAUUUUAUAAACAUAAUAGUCUUGACAUUGGUCAAGUUGUAUUGUAUACAUAUGUUGCACGUAUGAACUUUGAUGUUAAAUGUUUAAC